rnacentral:lncRNA from 1 species
GUCAGCGGUCCGAGCCGAAGGCGGGGAGGGUGGAGAGAAGGCUCGUCUCUGCGCCCGGCGGCCGCCCGGUGGGUGGCUGCGUUACUGUGGCCCGGAGCCCGACAGAGGUGCGUGUCAGGGGCUCGGGAGGCCUUUCCCGUUGCGCCACGCCGCCCUUCCGCCCCGGCGAGCGCCUUCGAGACCUGGGGCUAUUUGGGAACAAAGCCCUAGGCCCCGGGGCUGGCUCCCCUCGCGCGCUCCCGUCCUACCUGCGUGGAGCAGCCCGAGGCUGAACAGCAGCAGCAGCAGCAGCUCCAGCGGCGGGGGGCAGAGCCCGGGGCUGCGGCGCUGCUCAACCUCGGCGGCGGCAGCGGCGGCGCUGGAAGGUGCUGCUCUCAAGCCCAUGCCCGUCCAUGCAGGUCUCGUGGGCUCCGGCGAGGGCGGCGGCGCGGGCGCCGUGGCGGGUCUGGGCCCGUGGCUGCGGCAUGGGCCGGGGGGCGCGCUUCGCUUCCUCUUCUUCCUUCUUCAGGCCCGUGUAGCAGAUGGGGCGCCACCACCGCCGCAGCAAGCAGCGCGCAGCCGGCGCAGCCAGUCCGCGGCGGCAGCAGCGGGGCGCAGGGGCAUCGUGGCGGCCGGAGGCGGCAGGCAGGGAAAGGGGCGGAAGAGAAGACACAAAGACCGUGAGCGACUGCUGAGACGAGUCCCGAGCGCGCCGGCACCCCGGCCCCAGCCAGCGUGGGCUCGGCGGGCGUGGACCUCCAAGAGGCUGGCCCAGCCCUAGCGACCACCCACCGGCGGCCCGGAUAUCUCUGCGCGGCAGCCCCCGCGGUCGAUCAAUCUCAGUCCCGCACUGCCGUCCCGCCCCGCCCUGUGCCCGCCAAUCCACGACGCCAUAAUCCCCCGCCGUGUCCCUCCCUUCCUCCCCAUUGGUUGUGACCGCACGUCAGCCCGACUCAGCCUGCCAAUCGCAGGACCCAGAGGGCCCUCUCCCCCGCCCGCUCAGUGUAAUUCGAGUUCCCUGUCCAUCGACUCCAAGUCCUCUCUCCUGCGCCGCAUGCUGCCUCGCGCUCCCUUUCCUUCCCCCUCUACCCCCUUCCGCGAUUUACUGUUUCCUCGCGCCCAACAGAAAUGGGCGACCGCAAGUCUUACUCUCGCCGGCGUUACAAAGGUACCGGCCUUUGACCUCUCCUUGAAUUAAUGUGAUCCGAUUCAUCUUCCCUCCAAGUUUUUUUUUUAAUUUAAUUACCCCUCCCUGCCCUGGCCCUGCCAGCUUCAGCUCCACCUCCUUGGAGGAAGCAGGCGCUUUUACAGAGCGCCGCGCGGCAGGUCCCCUUUCAGCCAAUCACAUCUGCGGAACCGCGUUCCGAGUCGUUUGAGGGUGUCUGGUAAAGCAAGCUCGGGGCGGUGUUGGAAAUCUGAAUGUCACCCGCGGUCCGGAGCAGAUAGGAUGGGCUGGGAAGGUACCCGCGAACUGCCGCCGGAAUUCGCUGGCAGCUGUGCGAGGCUCAGGUGUUCUAGUUUGACAUUUCCCUUCCUGAAAGCGGCAAGGAGAGGUCUAAGAGUGGGCAAACUUCAACGUUCGGUUACAGUGUAAUUAAUGAGAGUGGUGGGUUUUUAUGCAGUGUAAUUAUGCCACGAUUUGUUGUUGCUCAGUGGCUUUUUCACAAAUUUCUACAGAUUAUUUAAAUUUUCCACAAAUUUCUACGGAUUAAUUCAAUGGCAGCUCACUUUCUCCUUUUAUGAUCGGAUGGGUCCGAAAGUGAGGAAAAAGACAAUUGUCUACAAAGAAAGAGGCUGCCAAGUGGAGACAGAAAAGCAGUUAUGAGACUGAUGAUAGAUUCCAAUUUGUUAUCGAAAGGAAGGAGGAGACCUGAACAGUACAUCCGGAGAAUCCAGCAAAGCAUACUACGGCAUGAACGUGCAAGUGGACAGAAUUAAAACACAUGCCAGAAACACUAAUGGAUUCUAAACAAGAUGCAGUUUCAUUUCCUGAGCCUAUACGUGAUGUUUUUAACUGUUCUCCAGUUAAUAUGUCUCCAUUUCCAGAAAUCUAACAGGAGAAUCUCUGACUGCUUAACAGAUCACCUAAGCUUGCGAUUUGUGCAAUCCUUUCUAGAGUAAGGGCUCCCCGGCUGCUCCCCGGCCACUGUGUACCCAAAGCAGCGGCUGAAAUAGCCCGGAGUCCAACAGCUCAGCGUCAAGCAGCUCGUGGCAAACGCAGCCGCCGGUCUUGACUGCCAUCGCCCAAGGGGUUCCUCUGGGCUCUCCCGCGAGCCAACAGCCGACCUCUCUCCAGCCUAGUCUGGGAAACUCCAGCCAACCCAGGAUCCCAUUUUGUAGUCCCGGGCAGACCCGAAACCCCUGAAAGAACUCCACUCCAGAAGACGCCAGAACAAGUUCCCACGAAUUUCAUGGGCGCCCUUCACAUGAAAACCUCAGCUCCCCUAUCCUCAAGGAACGGGGAAGGGCGCCGGGGAGGGACUUCGGUGGCCAGCUGUCCCUGGGUCGUGGGCGCUGUUUGCUCUGCGGAGCGCCAGCCCUGCACACAGCGGGUGCGGGAAGCGUUGAUGGGAGGCUGGAGGGCGGGGUGAGCGUAAACUAGGAUCUAGCCGGUUCCAGGCGUGGAGAAUCAAAUGUGGUCCUAGAUCUGUAAGUUGCGAAAAGGGGCUUUUGGGAGCGUCAGAGCUUUCUCACUCCGGUCCCCCGCCGCCUUGAGGCUGGCAGAUUUAUACCCCACAGGUGGAUGGAGACCUAAACAAAACAGUCCCGGCCGCUGCCUGCCGCUCGCCCCCCACGUCCCCCGGGCCCACCGCAAACUUCAACAAAAUAAACAACUCACCACAGGCAUUCCCUUGUCUGCAGCGCGACGCUUGCCAGCUGGGAAAAUAAGCCGCAAGCCACGCGGCCGAGGCGCGGAGGGAAGGCAGCGCGGCGCCCGCCCCUCUCCCCCAGGUGGGGGGCAGCGCGACUCGGGGCGGGAGGGAGGCUCCGCCUCGGGGGCCGCUCUCCCAGUUCUCCGACUCCAGAAUGAGCUCUGGGAGAGGAGCUGCGCCCUUCCAGCUAGCCCGAUUUCUCCGCCAUCUAGGGGAGAGGGCGGGGAGCCAAAUCCCUCAGCCCCCCGCACCCCAGCAGCUUCCUCCAGGCAGCUUUCUCCCCAGUCAGCCUCAAAUAGAGGUGAACAGAGACCCUCCUCUCCCCCCGGCAACCCCUAUAUCGCCACACUGCCCCCUGCCGGCGCUAUCCGGCUCAUUCCGGCACUGCGGACGGCUGGGGGCGUGGGGGCGUAGGGGCGCCGCAGACCCCCGCGUCCAGGUCCUGGAUCAGUUCUCUCUUCGCCUUCCCCCCACCACACUCAAUCUUGCACAAAGACGCCUUUCACGCCGCCAGCGCCACCCUCCGCGCCGCCCUCCGGGCCGGCGGCGCUGCCUUCGCCCACCCGCGGCACCAGCCGAUUCCUGGUGGGCGAUUGUGCCACUCGUCGCCAGGCAGGGCGGCAGCGGACGCGUGCGGGCUGUUCCCACUCCGCGCCCCGGCCAAGGCGCCAGAUGCGCUGCCCCCCGCCACGUUCUCUAGCUGCCCGCCGGCAGCCGCAGAAUGCACACCUUUCUCUCCGUAAAUGAUCCUUAAGGGUCUUCCAAGUGUUUCUAAAAUGGGUACAGUGGCGGGAAUGGUCCGCUGGACUUUCGCCGAAAUAAGGAAUCCAGCGAUCUUACCUGACCACCUAAGGUGCCAGUGUGCCUUUACAGCUUAAGAAAGCCAAAGAUAAAGAUUUGGAAAUAAAGAGGGGAGAGAGGGUUUAAAGAGACACCUAAGGCCCAGAGCAAGUGUGUUACAAAGAAUGAGCCCACGAAAUGUUCGAGGGAGGACGGUCGCUUCGAUCAGCGUGGAAGGCGUGGAGGGCAAGAAGAAAGGGAUUAACUUUCUACCUUACAUUGAUCUUCCAAAGUAGAAAAACAAACAAACAAAAAACAUCCCAGAUACUCAGCGGCAGCUAAUUGGCGCGUUCAACGCCUGGAACUAGCGGGCUACUUCUCUUAGUCAAGUCAAAUGCUCAAGUAUCCUGACUCAGGGAGGUCACUUCUUGCCUCCUUAGGCAAGAAUCUACGACCCUCUCCAGCUUUUCUUUGCCUUCUCCUCCCCUAACCCCUCCUUACAGUUUCUCCGGCUAACGCUAGAGGCAGCAUAGGGCAGUGUAAAGAGGACGAGUGGGAAUCCACAGAGGAAGGUCUAGUCCUGACUUUCUGGGUCUGGGCUUUAGGCAACUGAUUUAACGUCUUUGGACCUUGGGGUCACUAUCAAGAAAGGAUGUGUAAGAGGCAUUAAUUAGUAAAAUUUACAUAUCCUUCUCUUUCUUAAAUUCGAUGACAAUGAACGCCCUUCCUCCAAACCUCUGCAGGUUCCUCCUUAGUAUUUUUUUCACCUUGCUUUAUCUUCUCCAAGUGCCAGUCAAAUGGAAAAAAACAUACUGAGAUUGUUUCAAGGUAAAUGUAAGACACAUUGAAACAUACCCUUUUGCAUCUGAGAAUUUAAAAAGAAGAAAAAAAAAACCCCAACUCAGCUCCUGGUUUACAAAAGCAAGGAAUUUUAAUGUCCCCACUUGUUUUGCUUUUGAAAAGCCACUCCAGCAGUCAGCAAAGCACAGCUUUGAUUUAGAAACUAAAGGCUAGUCUCUUGUGUUUUUCUUUUCCCUUCCACCAACACAAAGACAAGCUGCAGCAUAAAAUAAUGAUGAACAAGAGUUCAAAGCAAGCCCAGUGAGCCAGCCCAGAGGAUGUUUUUUAAUGCAGCCCCAGUUCUUCGUCCCUCUCCUGCUAAGCUGAACGGUACAUAAAUAGCAGGCACAAGCUGCCAGAAUUCCCUGUCUCCUCCACUCCUUUCCCAUAAAUAUUGCUCAGUGGAACCUAGAGGCUAACUUGUCAAUCAUCACAUAAAUACAUUCAUCAGAUCAUACGUUUAAUUUUUCUUUAGUUUCAUAAUAUUUUUCAUGAUUUUCAAUUCACCACCCACUUUGGAAACUUGAACAUUAGUUCUCCCUCUGGGUAAGCUUGUCUGUUUUCUGAGAACUUUCUAUGCAACUAAGGCAAAAAAGGGUAAAAUCUCAUAAUGAAGCACUAACUUUUAAAUUACAAAUCUCUUGCUUCAAUUUCAACAACAGAAUUUUAGAAUGGCUUGGCUUUCAUACAAUGCACACUGUUAAAAGUUAUCUAUUAAAGAGGAUUCUUAAGUAUCCCUUUGGGAUACUUUUUUGGGAAAAAAAGUUUCCUUAAACAAUAGUGGUGGCAAAAUAUUCUGAGCUUGUCUAAUUCUGUUGCUUUCAUUUUUUUUUAAGUUAUAUUUUAGGCUCAGUAUGAUGGCUCACACCUGUAAUCCCAGUGCUUUGGGAGGCCAAGGCUGGAGGAUCACUUGAGUCCAGGAGUUAGAGAUGAACCUGGGGAACAUAGCAAGACCUUGUUACUACAAAAUUUUAAAAAAUUAGGAGACGUGGUGGCACACGCCUGUAAUCCUAGCUACUUGGGAAGCUGAAGUAGGAAGAUGACUUGGGCCCAGGAAUUUCAGGUUACAGAGAGCUGUGGUCUGGUCACUGCACUCCAGCCUGGGCAACAAAGUGAGACCCUGUCUCUAAAAAACAGAAGUUAUAUUUUAAUUGGCAAAUAAAACUAUAUAUAGUUAUGGUAUACAACAUAGUGUUUUGAAAUAUGUAUACAUUGUAGAAUGACUGGAUCAAGCUAAUUAACAUAUGCAUUACUUCACAUACUUAUCUUUUUUGUGGCGAGUACAAUUAACAUCUACUCUCAGUGAAUUUCAAGAAUAGAAUACUUUGUUAGUAACUAUAGUCAAAAUGUUAUACAGUAUUCUGUUGCUUUCAGUUGUAUCAAUCUCAACACUCCCAUUGCCUCAUUCAAAUAUGCUAAAACAUUUACAUUUCUAAAUAAACCUUGGAUGUUUCAUUGGUA